rnacentral:rRNA from 1 species
CAGUCGCCGCGGGAAUACGGAGGGGGCUAGCGUUGUUCGGAAUUACUGGGCGUAAAGCGCACGUAGGCGGCUUGGUAAGCUAGAGGUGAAAGCCUGGAGCUCAACUCCAGAAUUGCCUUUAAGACUGCCGAGCUAGCAGGUGAGAGAGGUAAGUGGAAUUCCGAGUGUAGAGGUGAAAUUCGUAGAUAUUCGGAAGAACACCAGUGGCGAAGGCGGCUUACUGGCUCAUACUGGACGCUGAGGUGCGAAAGCGUGGGGAGCAAACAGGAUUAGAGACCCCAGUAGUCCCUGUCUCUUAUAA